GACGAACGCUGGCGGCGUGCUUAACACAUGCAAGUCGAACGAGAAUCUGUGGAAAGAGGAUUCGUCCAAUUGAAGCAGAGGACAGUGGCGGACGGGUGAGUAACGCGUGAGGAACCUGCCUUUCAGAGGGGGACAACAGUUGGAAACGACUGCUAAUACCGCAUAACAUAUAGAUGUCGCAUGGCAUUUAUAUCAAAGAUUUAUCGCUGAAAGAUGGCCUCGCGUCUGAUUAGCUAGUUGGUGAGGUAACGGCCCACCAAGGCGACGAUCAGUAGCCGGACUGAGAGGUUGAACGGCCACAUUGGGACUGAGAUACGGCCCAGACUCCUACGGGAGGCAGCAGUGGGGAAUAUUGGGCAAUGGGCGCAAGCCUGACCCAGCAACGCCGCGUGAAGGAAGAAGGCUUCGGUUGUAAACUCCUGUUGUUGAGGAAGAUAAAUGACGGUACUCAACAAGGAAGUGACGGCGUAACUAACGUGCCAGCAGCCG
rnacentral:rRNA from 1 species